rnacentral:rRNA from 1 species
UACGUAGGGUGCGAGCGUUGUCCGGAAUUAUUGGGCGUAAAGAGCUUGUAGGCGGUCUGUCGCGUCUGCUGUGAAAAUCCGGGGCUCAACCCCGGACUUGCAGUGGGUACGGGCAGGCUAGAGUGUGGUAGGGGAGACUGGAAUUCCUGGUGUAGCGGUGAAAUGCGCAGAUAUCAGGAGGAACACCGAUGGCGAAGGCAGGUCUCUGGGCCGGUACUGACGCUGAGAAGCGAAAGCGUGGGGAGCGAACAGG